ACUGAACGCUGGCGGCAUGCCUUACACAUGCAAGUCGAACGGCAGCACGGGUGCUUGCACCUGGUGGCGAGUGGCGAACGGGUGAGUAAUACAUCGGAACGUACCUUAUCGUGGGGGAUAACGCAGCGAAAGCUGUGCUAAUACCGCAUACGCCCUGAGGGGGAAAGCGGGGGAUCGCAAGACCUCGCGCGAUUAGAGCGGCCGAUGCCUGAUUAGCUUGUUGGUGGGGUAAAAGCCCACCAAGGCGACGAUCAGUAGCUGGUCUGAGAGGACGAUCAGCCACAGUGGGACUGAGACACGGCCCAGACUCCUACGGGAGGCAGCAGUGGGGAAUUUUGGACAAUGGGGCAACCCUGAUCCAGCAAUGCCGCGUGAGUGAAGAAGGCCUUCGGGUUGUAAAGCUCUUUUGUCAGGGAAGAAACACCGGCUCUAACACAGUCUGGGAAUGACGGUACCUGAAGAAUAAGCACCGGCUAACUACGUGCCAGCCGCCGCCGUAA
rnacentral:rRNA from 1 species